UGCACCUCACCUGACGCCCAGAUCACAUAGACGAUGGCGGUGACGACAAGCACACCGAAUGCGACCCAGAAAACGAGGCGCCAUUCGAGCAACGAGGCCUGAAAAGAUAAAAAUAAAGAAAGACAGCACGUUUUCAUCAUUGGGUUCCUGUCAUUUUUCCAUCAUCGUCUGUGCUGACCACACUUCCGCUGGAUAUUAUGAAUUUACAAAAACAAAAACUUAUUGCAUGCAAUUUAAAUUCAAAUUACAGGAUCCGAGUACAUUAUACCAUGUACUUACUAUAUAUGUAAAUUUAUUACAAUGUGGUGGAGGAAAUCGAACAAUCGCCAACAAUUUGCUUGCCGGUUUGACAGGUAAGUUUGUAUGUAAAUAUUCGGGCGUCAUAUAAUUUUAGCAUACUACAAGUACACGCUUGGUCGAUGGGUCAAUUAACGUCUCGUCGGCAGUAGCGUGUUAUGUAAACACAAUUGGGUUGCGCUCACAAUUCCCAAAUCCCCAAUGUCUGGCGAUCCGCAAGCCAGAUUCAUAUGCAAUUUAUGAAGUUUUGUGAAUUUAUUUUUUGUUUACCGCAUCGAUUAAGUGCUCGAUGAUAAUUUCGCAAAUAUGUCGAACAUAUUAACAACCUUAUUGCGUUAACUCUUUGAUCAGAUAUGCAUAUAUGUAUAACACUGUACUCUAUAUGUAUUCCGUGAUUUGUUGUUUAUUUAUAUUAAAAUGUAUACACAUGUGUGUGUGUGUUUGGUAUAUAGUAUAUGCGUUGUGUUUAUCACUUUGUCAGUUGACGGAAACGCAUGCUUCUUUUACCACUUGUAUUUACAGUCCAUUGUCAAUGAAGUGGGUGAGCGUGCAGGUGUUAUAAAGGGGGUUGAGAAAUUGGGCGGUUACACAUAUUACCGAUCCAAUAUACACAAAUACUUAUAUACAUAUACAUCCGUUUGCUCAUUUGCAAAUCAAAUUGAAUCACACAAAAUAUGUACAUAUAUAC